CUACGGGGCGCUCCAGUGGGGAAUAUUGCACAAUGGGAGAAACCCUGAUGCAGCAACGCCGCGUGGAGGAUGACACAUUUCGGUGCGUAAACUCCUUUUAUAUAAGAAGAUAAUGACGGUAUUAUAUGAAUAAGCUCCGGCUAACUCCGUGCCAGCAGCCGCGGUAAUACGGGGGGAGCAAGCGUUACUCGGAAUCACUGGGCGUAAAGCGCAUGUAGGCGGGUCAUUAAGUUGGAAGUGAAAUCCUAUGGCUCAACCAUAGAACUGCUUCCAAAACUGGUGACCUUGAAUGUGGGAGAGGUAGAUGGAAUUUCUGGUGUAGGGGUAAAAUCCGUAGAGAUCAGAAGGAAUACCGAUUGCGAAGGCGAUCUACUGGAACACUAUUGACGCUGAGAUGCGAAAGCGUGGGGAGCAAACAGGAUUAGAUACCCCUGUAGUC
rnacentral:rRNA from 1 species